CCUACGGGUGGCUGCAGUGGGGAAUAUUGGUAAUCUGGGAAACCGGGAACCAGCAACGCCGCGUGCACGAUGAAGGCCUUCGGGUCGUAAAGUGCUUUUUGAAGGGAUGAGGAAGGACAGUACCUUCAGAAUAAGCCUCGGCUAACUACGUGCCAGCAGCCGCGGUAAAACGUAGGAGGCGAGCGUUAUCCGGAUUUACUGGGCGUAAAGCGUGUGUAGGCGGUUUGAUAAGUUGGAUGUGAAAGCUCCCGGCUCAACUGGGAGAGGUCGUUCAAAACUAUCAGACUAGAGAGUGGUAGAGGGAGGUGGAAUUCCGCGUGUAGUGGUGAAAUGCGUAGAUAUGCGGAGGAACACCAGUGGCGAAAGCGGCCUCCUGGCCCAUUUCUGACGCUCAGACACGAAAGCUAAGGUAGCAAACGGGAUUAGAUACCCCUGUAGUC
rnacentral:rRNA from 1 species